rnacentral:piRNA from 1 species
UAUUUAUUGAGGCCUACUAUGUGCCGGGA